rnacentral:misc_RNA from 1 species
CAAAGUUAGAUUCUUAAAUUUGGAGCCUUAUAAAUCUCCAACAUUAUAAGCUGUGCAAUACCUAUUGAAAAUACAUUAGAACUGACAUACGAAAUUCAUUCCCUAAAUCCAAAUGAACCACCAUUUUUAAAUCGCAUCCCCUACCCCUUUCUUUUCCAUCUCUUCUCUCAAGAUCAUGAUAUGCAGCCCAAUCAUAUAAACAGCAAAGAAACAGGUAUUAUCAUAUGAUUAAACAUAACCGUCAAGAUUUUUGUUCUCUUUUUUAUUAUGUGUGCAGUGGAAGGAAAAUUAAUAACCUGAACAUUAAUCAAACACUAAUAACCAUUUUCUAUUUACUCUUUAGACUUCCUUAAGAAAUAAAAUUAAAUUUCAACAUAAACAGAGAAUAUGACAAUCUCAUGACAACAAUAAGAAAUUAGGAGCUCAAACCUGUCUUCAGCAUAG